GAUGAACGCUGGCGGCGUGCCUAAUACAUGCAAGUCGAGCGAACAGACGAGGAGCUUGCUUCUCUGACGUUAGCGGCGGACGGGUGAGUCACACGUGGAUAACCUACCUAUAAGACUGGGAUAACUUCGGGAAACCGGAUCUAAUACCGGAUAAUCUUUUGAACCGCAUGGUUCAAUAGUAAAAGACGGUCUUGCUGUCACUUCUAGAUGGAUCCGCGCUGCAUUAGCUAGUUGGUAAGGUAACGGCUUACCAAGGCAACGAUGCAUAGCCGACCUGAGAGGGUGAUCGGCCACACUGGAACGGAGACACGGUCCAGAGUCCUACGGUAGGCAGCAGUAGGGAAUCUUCCGCAAUGGGCGAAAGCCUGACGGAGCAACGCGGCGUGAGUGAUGAAGGUCUUCGGAGCGUAAAACUCUGUUAUUAGGGAAGAACAGAUGUGUAAGUAACUGUGCACAUCUUGACGGUACCUAAUCAGAAAGCCACGGCUAACUACGUG
rnacentral:rRNA from 1 species